UGGGCGUAAAGCGAGCGCAGGCGGUUUUUUAAGUCUGAUGUGAAAGCCUUCGGCUCAACCGAAGAAGUGCAUCGGAAACUGGGAAACUUGAGUGCAGAAGAGGACAGUGGAACUCCAUGUGUAGCGGGGAAAUGCGUAGAUAUAUGGAAGAACACCAGUGGCGAAGGCGGCUGUCUGGUCUGUAACUGACGCUGAGGCUCGAAAGUAUGG
rnacentral:rRNA from 1 species